GGGGUUGUGGCUCAGUGGUAGAGCGCAUACUUACCAUGUGUAAGGCACUGGGUUCGAUCCUCAGCACCA
rnacentral:tRNA from 1 species